UACGUAGGGGGCAAGCGUUGUCCGGAUUUAUUGGGCGUAAAGAGCGUGUAGGCGGCCUGACAGGUCUGCUGUGAAAACUCGAGGCUCAACCUCGAGAUGUCGGCGGAAACCGUCUGGCUAGAGUCCGGAAGAGGAGAGUGGAAUUCCCGUGGUGUGAGCGGAUGAAUCGCAGAUAUCAGGAGGAACACCAAUUGCGAAGGCAGCUCGCUGGGACGUUACUGACGCUGAGACGCGAAAGCGUGGGGAGCAAACAGG
rnacentral:rRNA from 1 species